rnacentral:rRNA from 1 species
UAUUGGGCAAUGGGCGCAAGCCUGAUCCAGCCAUGCCGCGUGGAUGAUGAAGCCCCCUCAGCCCCGUAAAGUCCUUUUAACGGGGAAGAUAAUGACGGUACCCGUAGAAUAAGCCCCCGGCUAACUUCGUGCCAGCAGCCGCGGUAAUACGAAGGGGGCUAGCGUUGCUUGGAAUCACUGGGCGUAAAGCGCACGUAGGCGGAUCUUUAAGUCGGUGGUGAAAUCUUGGAGCUCAACUCCAGAACUGCCUUCGAUACUGAGGGUCUCGAGUCCGGGAGAGGUGAGUGGAACUGCGAGUGUAGAGGUGAAAUUGGUAGAUAUUCGCAAGAACACCAGGGCGAAGGCGGCUCAGGGGCCCGGUACGACGCGAGGGCGAAA